ensembl:lncRNA
GGCAGCUGCUUUGGAGAAUUGUAGAAGUGGAAACAGAAACAGAAAAGACUCAAUGGCAGCCCAAUCACAGUGGGUAGUGGGUACCCCUUCCCCUCCCUGUCCUGCUAUCACCCUAGUAUCCAAGGCCAAAGGCAUUGUGACCCUUCAGGCAGAAAAUCCCACAAACCUCUCUUGCUCUUUUCCUGGCAGUAAAACACAAUCAUAAUGAAUCAGUAAGGAUUAAAUUAGUCACUUCUAUAUCAUACCCCUGAAUUGAUGGAGCUCCUUUGCUGUGGCUAACGGUAGGCCCCAGCCCACCAAACCUAUACCUGCUGCACCUCAUCAGACCAUCUUGCCGGAGAAUUACAUGCUGAGGUAGGGAAAGUGGAAAAAGAUUUGGUGGGACUAAAAUGUCUGUUGUAAUGCUUUCUUUCUUUUCUAAUCUUAAUGUUCUUCUUUGUCAUACGUUUGUUUGAAAAUUAAUGUGGAAAUCAGCUCAGUGCUGGUUUUAUUGAACUUGACUUUUGUUUUGAGUCAUCAGAAGCCUUUUUGACAAUAUAAAGAAUGUUCUGUAGAGAGCAUGUAUUUCUGAACCAGCAGAAACUGUGGAGAUACCUCUUCCCAAAAAAAUCAAAACAAAACAAACCCACAAACAAAAAACCAAGAACAACAGGAGACUUAAAAGAGAUCAGCAGUAGCUUGAUAGAAAAGUGGGAGGCAGAAUAUAAUUUCCUCAGCAGUGAUGGGAACUAUAAAUGAAAUCAAAUGGUUUCUUCUUGUGCUGGCGGAAGAAAAUUACUGUGGUGUUGAUGGGUCUUCAGGACAAGAAGAAGAGAACAGGAAAGGGGGAUCCCAAGGGAAUUUUGUGAAAAUCCCUCCCUGCCAUGUUUUUUAAACUUUUAACCUUUUAAAAACCUUUUUAACCUUUUAAAGACAAACAAGAAAAAGAAACUAUCCUGUACAGUUAAUUGGUUGUGCCUAAUGUGUGUAAAUACAAUUCUUUCAUUUCCUGUCCUUUGUGAUUAGUGAGCAUCUUGUGGUUAUGAAGAUGCACGUAACCAUGAACUAACAGGGGUAUGAAAUAAGAUUUUUUAAAAAGAGAGCAAAGAAUGAAAUAUAGAUGUUUGUUAUUGUUGGAGGUGGUCCCCCUCCCUCAACCUUUAUUGAAAUGUUCCUUAUUUUCCCUUAGAAUCUUUGAUUUUUUUUUCGUGCAAAGGAUGUGGUGGAGGCUCAAGGGAAUUAGCUAUCAAGGCCACUAAGUCCUAAAACAUUACCAAAGUAAAGAAAAACUUAAUUUAAUGAUUCUCAUCACAAAGAGUCCAACCAAAGGCAGAUGGCUUGGUAACAGACACGCAUGGAAAGUCAAAGUUAGGGUGGUAUAUUGGUGGAAAUGUUUGGCUCGGACCAGGGAAAUUUAGGUAGAGAUCCCUGUCCAGCUAUGAAACUCAUUGUAUGGUGAACAUGAGAAGGGCCCUCUUGGAUCAGAUCAAAGGCCAAAGAAAUCCAGCACUCUCUAGACCUUCAGUGGCCAGCCAAUACCUAUGCAAAGCCCAGAGAUGGGAUAUGUCAGGUGAAAUGGCCUUGUGCCUGCUGUUAUUUCUUGGCUUAGUCUACUUCACAGGGUUGUUGUGAGGGUUAAAGCAAGGGAGACAGUAAAAAAGAAACAUUUGGUGGUCCUAUAACUUUUGAAUGCUCCUCUCUUUUUAUUUAUUUAAAAAUAUUUUUAUCCUGCCUUUCUCCUUGAAAUGGACCCAAGGUG